rnacentral:rRNA from 1 species
UACUCCUACGGGAGGCAGCAGUAGGGAAUCUUCCGCAAUGGGCGAAAGCCUGACGGAGCGACGCCGCGUGAGUGAUGAAGGUCUUCGGAUCGUAAAACUCUGUUAUUAGGGAAGAACAUAUGUGUAAGUAACUGUGCACAUCUUGACGGUACCUAAUCAGAAAGCCACGGCUAACUACGUGCCAGCAGCCGCGGUAAUACGUAGGUGGCAAGCGUUAUCCGGAAUUAUUGGGCGUAAAGCGCGCGUAGGCGGUUUUUUAAGUCUGAUGUGAAAGCCCACGGCUCAACCGUGGAGGGUCAUUGGAAACUGGAAAACUUGAGUGCAGAAGAGGAAAGUGGAAUUCCAUGUGUAGCGGUGAAAUGCGCAGAGAUAUGGAGGAACACCAGUGGCGAAGGCGACUUUCUGGUCUGUAACUGACGCUGAUGUGCGAAAGCGUGGGGAUCAAACAGGAUUAGAUACCCUGGUAGUCCACGCCGUAAACGAUGAGUGCUAAGUGUUAGGGGGUUUCCGCCCCUUAGUGCUGCAGCUAACGCAUUAAGCACUCCGCCUGGGGAGUACGACCGCAAGGUUGAAACUCAAAGGAAUUGACGG